GUGCUCAUUUUCACAGCACGUGUACAAAAAUUGGAAUGAUACAGAGAUUAGCAUUGUCCCUGCACAAGGAUGACAACCAAAUUCAUGAUGCAGUCCACAUUAAA
ensembl:snRNA U6 U6 spliceosomal RNA